AGUUUCAGCAGUGAAAAUAUAGUGCUGCCUGGAACCCAUCUAUUCAUUGCUCAACUGACUUCACAAAUCCUGUGCAGUAAGACUUGGGAACAUACAUCACUUCUGCAGCGCUUGACAGACCAUCCCUGAAGCCUAUGACAGCUGGGCAGAUUGAAUCAGUGAUACAGUUGACUGGGCAUUUUAUUUAAGGAUGUCAUAAUCUCCAUUAAAAACAUUCAUCUUUUUGUGCACCUCUUCCCUGUGUUACAGACUGUUUCUAACUCUCCAGUCUCUCUGCUCAUCUCCCUUCUGGAUCAGUCACCAAAAUGCACAUUAUUCCUCUUGAAGAAUAUAGAAGGUGACACCUGUAUUAUACCCAACACUGUCCUUCCACUUGAUCACGCUGCCCAGAAACCUGCACCCAGACAGACCACAGGCUUCCAGGACAGAUCCGUCCCCAUGAAGGGGCAGAUGCCCACAGGAACAACCCCUGAAUUGCUAAUUUAAGGACUAAAAGAAGAAAAAAAUUAUUUCAAAAGUUUGCUGAUUUGUUAAAACUCAAUUGAAAAAUUCCUAGUGAGCAGUGGCACAAACCCUCUUACAGCCCAAAGAUGAAAUAAUUCCAGUUUAGUUAGUUAGUUAGUUAUUCUAUGAAAAAGCUGCACUCAAAACCCAGAGCACUGGGUCUAUCUUGAUCAACCUCAAUGAAUUUACUACCAUGCAGGUGGCUAAAACCAAACAUGGGUUAAGUGAGUUUAAUACAGCAGAAAGAAACUUAAACACUAGUUAAAAUGUAAUUGCUGCCUUUUUUUCCUGUUUUACUACAAAUCCUGAAGCCACUCCAAAAUAAAGUAGGAGUUCUCUGUGCAAGUAACCUGAUUUGAGCACAGGCAAAAGGUACCCCUUGAAGGACUGCCAAGACAAAUGAUCCUGUUUGAUAACGUCUGCCUUGAACGUGAUGAAAUACGGCUCUUGAAUCUGAGUCGCUGCAUGUUUCUGUCCUUCUGUCUGUUUUAAAAAAAUUCACAGAACUUCAGCCAGAAGUCUACCCCGAUGGUAUGUCUACAGUGUUGACAUAGAGCAGGGAUUGCCUAAUGCCUUUUUAUGUUUUACUAAAUAAAGAUAUUUACUCUA